GCCAGGUGCAGUGGUGCACGCCUGUAAUCCCAGCAUCUCGAGAGGCUGAGGCAGGAGGAUCAUGAGUUGGAGGCCAGCCUCUGCAAAUCAGCAAGGUCCUAAGCAACUUAGAGACCCUGUCUCAA
rnacentral:sRNA from 1 species